rnacentral:rRNA from 1 species
GGGGAUCCACCUCUUCCCAUUCCGAACAGAGAAGUUAAGCCCAACCACGUCGAUGGUACUGCCGUUAGGUGGGAGAGUAGAUAGCCGCCCUCU